rnacentral:rRNA from 1 species
UGGGGAAUCUUCCGCAAUGGGCGAAAGCCUGACGGAGCAAUGCCGCGUGAGUGAUGAAGGGAUUCGUUCCGUAAAGCUCUUUUGUUUAUGACGAAUGUGCAGACUGUGAAUAAUGGUUUGUAAUGACGGUAGUAAACGAAUAAGCACCGGCUAAUUACGUGCCAGCAGCCGCGGUAACACGUAAGGUGCGAGCGUUGUUCGGAAUCAUUGGGCGUAAAGAGCAUGUAGGCGGUCUGUCAAGCCAGGCGUGAAAGCCAGGGGCUCAACCCCUGAACUGCGCUUGGAACUGGCGGACUGGAGUCGCUGAGGGGGAACCGGAAUUCCUGGUGUAGGGGUGAAAUCUGUAGAUAUCAGGAAGAACACCGAUGGCGAAGGCAGGUUUCCAGCAGACGACUGACGCUGAGGUGCGAAGGUGCGGGGAG